rnacentral:rRNA from 1 species
GAAUUUUGGACAAUGGGCGAAAGCCUGAUCCAGCAAUGCCGCGUGCAGGAUGAAGGCCUUCGGGUUGUAAACUGCUUUUGUACGGAACGAAAAGCUUCGGGCUAAUACCCUGGAGCCAUGACUGUACCGUAAGAAUAAGCACCGGCUAACUACGUGCCAGCAGCCGCGGUAAUACGUAGGGUGCAAGCGUUAAUCGGAAUUACUGGGCGUAAAGCGUGCGCAGGCGGUCUUGUAAGACAGAGGUGAAAUCCCCGGGCUCAACCUGGGAACUGCCUUUGUGACUGCAAGGCUGGAGUGCGGCAGAGGGGGAUGGAAUUCCGCGUGUAGCAGUGAAAUGCGUAGAUAUGCGGAGGAACACCGAUGGCGAAGGCAAUCCCCUGGGCCUGCACUGACGCUCAUGCACGAAAGCGUGGGGAGCAAAC